CCUANGGGGGGCUGCAGUGGGGAAUAUUGGGCAAUGGGCGCAAGCCUGACCCAGCCACGCCGCGUGAGUGAUGAAGGCCUUCGGGUCGUAAAGCUCUGUGGGGAGGGACGAACCUGCCUUGGCUAACAUCCAAGGUUCUGACGGUACCUCCUUAGCAAGCACCGGCUAACUCCGUGCCAGCAGCCGCGGUAAUACGGAGGGUGCAAACGUUGCUCGGAAUCAUUGGGCGUAAAGCGCACGUAGGCGGUUUGGUCAGUCGGGUGUGAAAGCCCUCGGCUUAACCGAGGAAGUGCAUUCGAAACUACCAAGCUUGAGUACUGGAGAGGGUCGCGGAAUUCCCGGUGUAGAGGUGAAAUUCGUAGAUAUCGGGAGGAACACCAGUGGCGAAGGCGGCGACCUGGACAGAUACUGACGCUGAGGUGCGAAAGCGUGGGGAGCAAACAGGAUUAGAUACCCGUNUANUC
rnacentral:rRNA from 1 species